rnacentral:misc_RNA from 1 species
AACCUAGCACACCUGCGGUGUGUACCUGCGGAGGGAUCAUUACCGAGUUUACAACUCCCAAACCCCUGUGAACAUACCACUUGUUGCCUCGGCGGAUCAGCCCGCUCCCGGUAAAACGGGACGGCCCGCCAGAGGACCCCUGAACUCUGUUUCUAUAUGUAACUUCUGAGUAAAACCAUAAAUAAAUCAAAACUUUCAGCAACGGAUCU